CUCCAACUAAGAAAAAUCAAGAACGUCUGCUCUCUCUGUCAUUCCUCUUGUUGUCAAGUUUGCACUUUAGUGUGUUUUCUUCCAUCAAUCGUAUUUUUUGGUAGGUACCUCUUCUGUCAUCUCUUUGAUUCAUCUUUAUCUAUAUUUCUGUUGAGGAGUAUCAACGGAUUUUGGUCUCUAGGUGUUUGAGAAAAUUCUUCAAUGAAUUACCAUUUCUGUUAAAUUUUUUAUGCAUAUUUAUGUCUUCUCUAUUUUUAAAAUAUUUGUGAUUCAUCUCUAUCUGUAUUUCUCUUGAGGAGUAACAAUGGUUUUUGUUCUCAUUUCGCUGGGGCUAAAUUAUAUAAGAAUAGUUGUAAAUAAUGCUCAUGUGAUUAUCAUCUUUCUUACACCAAAGGUUUUGACUGCAAAAGAAUAAUUAUCGUAAUUUGUGAACUGAUCGAUUCUGCAGAAAUGCAAAAAGGAUGCACAUAUUUCUUAAAAUGUAUAAUGGCUUCUCUCUGUUUCAAACUUACUCCUUCAAUGAAAAGCGUGAUAGUACUACAUGUGAUUUUUUGUUGCCUAUUUUACCUUUCUUUCUUAGUGGUAAAAGACUAAAAGGAUCAAUUUUGGCUAAAAGGUGGAGUCUUUAUUGAGAUUUCUAUUGAUUCUUGUAACCUAAAUCUGUAGUAAUUUUAGAGAUUGAAGUUUCCAUUAUGUAGUCUGCAAUUUCUUGGCUGAUAUUAAGUCAUAAAGGGAUAACUUGGUAGAAAGGUUGCUUCUUUAUUGGGAAUACAAUUUCUUUUAUGGGAUUACAAUUUGUUAUGGCAAUUUUCUACCUAAAUGCGUAGUAAAUCUAGAGGUUGAAAUGUCCCUGUGUAACCUUCUUGGAUGCAUAACAGUUUUAUAUUGCUGCUAUGUAUGUAUAUAUAUAUAUAUGUAUGCACUUGUGUCUGUGUGCGUGUAUGUCUGCUUCAUCAUUUGUUUUCCAUUUUUUGUUCUUGUUGUUAUUGUUAUUGUAGUCUGAUUAUUCUUCGCGUACGCAAACUGCUAUUACCAAAGAUCUGAAGCUCAUUGUUUCUGAGGUAACAAGUCAUUCUUGGUUUAUAUAUUUCGAUUCAUUUUCUUGAGAGCAAUUUCUG
rnacentral:lncRNA from 1 species